CACAGCAGGCUACAAGAGAGAUCGUCUGACCCCUCGAAAGCUGUCUCAGUGUCGACGGACCGAAUGGUUUCACUUUCUGCAGCUGUCACUCACUCGUGUAUGAUAGCGAAUCUUCAUCGCUGAUCUAAAACCAGUGUUCUCCACCUGCCUUUAGGAGGACCCGAAAUGUCAUUACAGCAAUCACGGAUGCAGUUCCGAGAGUUUCUAGAAAUUUCCAACACAAAAAAGUGCGGAGGUACUUGGCACACUGCUGAUGCCCGUUGUAUUCAGCCAGGUCUGCUGCUGAGAACCCAUCCUGGUCCCGUAUCCCCAUGUCCACGCCGUUCACUACCAGAAUCUGACAGCACUGCAUGGAGAAACAGACAUUUACAUUAACAACCACAUAGACUGCAUGCUCUGGGGCUGUUUUAUUAAAUAGAUUUACCUCUGUCGGCUAAAGCAAGCAUUACUAUUCAUAGUGCUCAUUCAUAAGGUUAUGGUUUUACACAGUAUUACACAGAAUUGUGCACCUAUUUAUGACUGAACAACUGCUUAAUACUGCUCGUUCUGAAGGGUGUAAAUAUUUGUCUGUUUGAGAAGGUUGAGUAAAGUAUGAGUGGUGUUCAUGAAUGCAGUAAAAGGGUAUUUUGUUAAUGACAGCUGUCAUGCGUUUGGCCCUCGGGUGGAGAACGAGAGACAAUACUCUGACUGCUUCUGUGUCCCACUCUUUCUGUCAGCAGCCUUCAGAUGGAUAAUGUUACGAACCAAUAAAAGUGUCGCACGAUUGUGGAAAGUUCCAAACACUAAGGUUUAGAGCACUUCCAGGUUGCUGAAUAAAUAAAUGUAACAAAUAAAGCAUGUAACAAUUAUUAAAUAUAACAUGAAAAAUGCACAAUAAUUGCAAUAAUUAUUAUUUAUAAUAUAUUGUACAUACAAAAAGGCAAAGGAAUUUCAUUUUUUAACUCAACUAAACUUUCUAGUGAAUUACUACUGACUUGUUGAGAGUGUAUAUUAACCGAACCUUAUAUACAGUGUCACUAUAAUAUGUAUAAUAUGUCACUUGUUUCUCAUAAAUCAUUUUAAUCAUUUUUAAUCAUUUUAUAAUCAUUUUAUUAUAACUAUGUAUCAUUACAAAAGUUCACAAAUGUGAUGUUUAAGAAUCAUUCUUGAUUUUUUUUUUUUUCAAGUGAAAGUCAAGAGAUAGAUGAUUUAUAAAGUAAAUCACCAAAACAGGCAUUAAUAAUAUUAACCUAUACUGCAAAAUACUGCACAUCACGGUAGGUUAUAUAGCACACCUGGCUAAAACGAUGCACCUCUAGUUUGCAAUGUCAACAAACAGUAUUGUGAAAUCUUAAGUAACUGAAUAAACUACACUAAAAGUAUCCAAAAUGUAAUGUUAAAGUUACACAUGAUUGUUAGAUCAAAUCUCUACAAAAGAGACUUCAAAAUGUAAUAUUCAAAAAUCUAUAUUUAUUAUUAUUAUUAUUUUACUCAAGUAAUAGUCAAGAUAUAGCAUCUCUUUUUAUAUAAUUAUACAGUACACAAAUAAAACAGAUAUUUGCUUUAUGUUAUAGAUUAUUAAGAGCAUUAGCUCAAUCUAGUUCUAUCUUGGCAUUGCAUCUCAGAUGAAUCAGUUUAAGUGGAAGAUCACCCUAAAAUUAUUUGUACCACAAUGACUCUGUUAUCAUAUGUGACCCUGGAGCACUAAGCCAGUCUUAAGUCUCCUGGGUAUAUUUGCAGCAAUAGCCAAAAAUACAUAGCAUGUAUCAAAAUUAUUGAUUUUUCUUUUAUGCCAAGAAUCAUUAGGAUAUAAAGUAAAGAUCAUGUUUCAUGAAGAUAUUUUGUCAAUUUCCUACCGUAAAUAUAUCAAAACUUAAUUUUUGAUUAGUAACAUGCAUUGCUAAGAACUUUACUUGGACAACGUUAUAGGUGAUUUUCUCAGUAUUUAGAUUUUUUUUGCACCCUCAGAUUUCAGAUUUUCAAAUAGCUGUAUCUCAGACAAAUAUUGUCCUAUCCUAACAAACCAUACAUCAAUAGAAAGCUUAUUUAUUCAGCUUCUAUGUAUUGUAUAAAUGUAAAUGUAAAUAAAUUAAAUGUACUUCAAAUGCAUUUUCCUAUUUUAACCCUAAAUGUAUUAUACUAAAAUAAAGUGGUACACAAUUUAUGAUGUGUUCACAAUUCACAAA